GCGCUUUUCCAAUGGAUGUUACUUUCAUUCCGUCACAGUACCGUUAACCCGAUGAUUUUGGAACUAAGGUAUAGAACACUUGCUCUUAUUCCCGCCAUUUUCUCUCACUUCCUCCAAUCGCCAUUUUUGUCAUACAGAUCCAAAACACAGAAAUUCAAGGAAGAGAGGUAGGAGAAAAUACCCAGAAAACUUCUAGUAGAAUUAAAGAGAAAAAAAAUGGGUAUCAAAGAUCUCCUCCGGUUUAUGAAGCCCUAUGUUGAAACCGCCCACAUAAAAAAAUACGCCGGCAAAAGGAUGGGAAUUGAUGCUUAUUCUUGGCUUCACAAAGGAGGAUUGAGCACCAGCUACCGCCAUGGAUAGAUCGGGCCUGUUGUAGUCAGCUUCGGAGACUAGGGUGAGGACUUGGCAUUUUUGGAUCAUUUUUGUCUCCUUCAGUAUGGAUGACCCGUCUUUUGCCUUUUGAGACUAGCCAGUUGUUGUAUAUAUUUUUGGUCCACUUUUGGGACUUGUACUCAUCUUUUAUUUUAUAGCAGUCAUGAAUCCUCCCAUGAAUGUACUGAAUCAAGCUCAAAAAAUGAUUGCAUAAUUUUUUUAGAGCAGUUGUGUUGGAGGGAGAGGAAGACAUUAGACAAAGUGGAGCAAUUUAUGCUUGCCAGAGAAGGAAGUGGGACUAGGAUUCAGACUAAUGAAAAAUGUAUCAAUGACCCUAUUUUGUAAAUUAUGGUGGAAUUUUCGAACAAAGCCAUCACUAUGGAGUGAGUAUAUGAGGAAUAAGUAUUGUCGAAAGAAGAAUGCAAAUAAAGUGGUGUGGAGAAUAGGAAAUGAAGGAUCAUAAGUGUGGAAGAAAAUGCUACUGGCCAGAGAUCUUAUUGAGCAUCAAAUCUUUUGGCUAUCAAAAAAAGGAUCAACAUUAGUAUGGCAUGAUAACUGGACGGAGAAUGGGGAACUUGUACACCAUUACAGGAGAAGACUAUGAAUGAGAAGAUAAUUACAAAAGAGUUGAUGAAUUAGUAAA